rnacentral:rRNA from 1 species
CCUACGGGUGGCAGCAGUCGAGAAUCUUUCACAAUGGGGGCAACCCUGAUGGAGCGGCGCCGCGUGGAGGAUAAGGUCUUCGGAUUGUAAACUCCUGUCAUGCGAGAACAAGGUUGCAGGGCUAACACCUUUGCAAAUUGAUGGUACCGCAAGAGGAAGAGACGGCUAACUCUGUGCCAGCAGCCGCGGUAAUACAGAGGUGGCAAGCGUUGUUCGGAAUCGCGCGUAGGUGACGUGGCAAGUGUGGUGUGAAAGCCCGGGGCUCAACCUCGGAAUUGCAUCCGAUACUGCCAUGCUGGAGUACUGAAGAGGUGACUAGAAUUCUAGGUGUAGCAGUGAAAUGCGUAGAUAUCUAGAGGAAUACCAACGGCGAAGGCAGGUCACUGGGCAGUUACUGACACUGAGGCACGAAGGCCAGGGGAGCAAACGGGAUUAGAUACCCCUGUAGUC